rnacentral:rRNA from 1 species
AGUGAACGCUGGCGGUAGGCCUAACACAUGCAAGUCGAACGGCAGCACAGUAAGAGCUUGCUCUUACGGGUGGCGAGUGGCGGACGGGUGAGGAAUACAUCGGAAUCUACUUUUUCGUGGGGGAUAACGUAGGGAAACUUACGCUAAUACCGCAUACGACCUACGGGUGAAAGCAGGGGAUCUUCGGACCUUGCGCGAUUGAAUGAGCCGAUGUCGGAUUAGCUAGUUGGCGGGGUAAAGGCCCACCAAGGCGACGAUCCGUAGCUGGUCUGAGAGGAUGGUUCGGCACACUUGGACUUGGGCACGGUCCAGAACCCUAAGGGGGGCAACAAGGGGGGAAAUUGGGCAAUGGGCGGAAGCCUGAUCCAACCAUACCGGGGGGGUGGAAGAAGGCUUCCGGGUUGUAAGGCCCUUUGUUGGGGAAAAAAAAGAACCGGGUUAAUCCCCGGUUGUCUGACGGUAACCAAAAAAUAAACAACGGCCAACCUCGUG